rnacentral:rRNA from 1 species
AGUGAACGCUGGCGGUAGGCCUAACACAUGCAAGUCGAACGGCAGCACAGUAAGAGCUUGCUCUUACGGGUGGCGAGUGGCGGACGGGUGAGGAAUACAUCGGAAUCUACUUUUUCGUGGGGGAUAACGUAGGGAAACUUACGCUAAUACCGCAUACGACCUUCGGGUGAAAGCAGGGGAUCUUCGGACCUUGCGCGAUUGAAUGAGCGGAUGUCGGAUUAGCUAGUUGGCGGGGUAAAGGCCCACCAAGGCGACGAUCCGUAGCUGGUCUGAGAGGAUGAUCGGCCACACUGGAACUGAGACACGGUCCAGACUCCUACGGGAGGCAGCAGUGGGGAAUAUGGGACAAUGGGCGCAAGCCUGAUCCAGCCAUACCGCGUGGGUGAAGAAGGCCUUCGGGUUGUAAAGCCCUUUUGUUGGGAAAGAAAAGCAGCAGGUUAAUACCCCGCUGUUCUGACGGUACCCAAAGAAUAAGCACCGGCUAACUUCGUG